CUGAACAUUUUAUUUGUAUCCCAUCAAUUCACAUCAAAUAACCAUUGAUUAAUACUAUCAAAGAGUCGUUUCAAACGAGAAAAAAAUGUAUAAAAUUUUAAAAAUGAAGCGACAAAAAAUAGAAAUAGAAAAUUAGGUUUGUGAAACGAGUAACAAAUAUGCAAUUAAUUAUAUAUAUUUUUAUACUGAAUGAUAAAAUUAAACCUUACUAUAAUAAAAAUCAUAAAAGGGGUUGGAACAAGUAAUCCACAAUUCAUUUCAUUUGUGAAAAGAGGAUCUGAAAGAGAGAGAAUCAGUGGAAGAAGAUGAUCUAUCGGAAGUGGAGUCUCCUUACCGGUCCGGCCACCAUCCUCGGCGGCGUUGUUGCCACCAUCGCCGCCGCAAACUUCAUCUUCGUCAAGAACGAUCCAUUCCUCAAACCAGAGGAGAGGAAGUUUGAAAACCAACCUGCAACCAAGUAGGAGAAAAGACGAAUGAUGUCAUCUAAACCCUGAUUUAUGAGCUCUAUUUAUUCGUUUUGCUAGACAUGUUCUCUCUGGUUAUAAUAAUAAUGAGAUUCUGAAUGAUGCCUGGAUUCUGGAGCAUGGACCCUUAGUUUAGAACUAACCUUCCAAAGUUCUAGAAAACUGGUUCAUAUUUCAGGGGUCCAUACUUGUCUCUUUUGUACAAUCAACAAUGUUGACUGCAAAUGUGCAAUGUGGUUUCUGAUCUUCCAUUUGUUUCUUUUAUCCAUAUGAAUUUACUGUUAUCAUUUCAAAAUUCACACCUUUCUCUGCUUAUUGCUUGUAUUUAUUGACUUUUGUAUCUCAUAGGAGAUGGCUUAUAAAAUUUAAGUCUAAGACUGA